rnacentral:misc_RNA from 1 species
UUUCCGUAGGUGAACCUGCGGAAGGAUCAUUAGUGAAUAUUAGGGCGUCUACUUCGGUAAGGCCUGACCUCCACUUUCUAACUCUGUGCACUUAUUUGGCGGAAAAGGGAAUUAGUAAUCUGUCUAAUGACGAUGGCGAUUUCUUACUUUCUGCGGCUUACUUUAAACACUAGUCAAAGUAUGUAACGAAAUAUCGAAACAAAUAAAAACUUUCAACAACGGAUCUCUUGGCUCUC